rnacentral:lncRNA from 1 species
CUGGCCUUGACUGCAGCUCCAUCCCCAGCUCGGCAUUCGGAUCCAUAGCCUGGGUCGUGGAAGCUACUCCUUCGGUGACAAUCCCCCUCCUUCUAAAUGUGGUGGAGCUGACAUUGUGAUCUGGGGAGGCAGGUGGCCCUCUUCGUCUGCAUUUUUCCCCCUCCAGAGGUUGCCUAGGAGGUUUGUGUAAUUGCCUUGUGCUC